GGCCAAUCCGGCUGGCAGCCGAUUGACCUGACCCAGGCAAGGGUUGCUGCAGAGUAUUUAGUUCGGCCCCCUACUGAAUGAAGACACUUUGUUAAAUUCUCCAAUGAGAGACGCUUAGAGGUAGGGGCGUGGAAGGGGGCCGGGGAAUUUGAGGCCAGAUAACGGGAAGUGUGAGCCGAUUGGCCGGACUUCUCACUCCACGGCCCAGCCGUUUACGGAUCGCGGAGGCCAUCCAUCAAAAGAAUUACACCAAUCAGCGGCGAAAAUGCCCCCUUCUCGCGAGAAAGCCCCGCCCUCCAAUAUAUUCCUCGUCAGGGCAGGCGCGGCCCCUUCGGCUCCGAGCUGACCCUGAUCAGGGCCGAGUUGUCUCGGCGGCGCUGCGGAGACCUCCACCCAGGACAGUCCCCCUCCCCGGGCCUCUCUCCUCUUGCCUACGAGUCCCCUGUCCUCGUAGGCCUCUCGGAUCUGAUAUCGUGGGGUGAGGUGCGCAGGCCCGGGGAGGGUGAUUACCGCUGAGGAGCUGCAGUCUCUGUCAAGAUGAUAGAGGUACUGACAACAACUGACUCUCAGAAACUGCUACACCAGCUGAAUGCCCUGUUGGAACAGGAGUCUAGAUGUCAGCCAAAGGUCUGUGGUUUGAGACUAAUUGAGUCUGCACACGAUAAUGGCCUCAGAAUGACUGCAAGACUAAGGGACUUUGAAGUAAAAGAUCUUCUUAGUCUAACUCAGUUCUUUGGCUUCGACACAGAGACAUUUUCUCUAGCUGUGAAUUUACUGGACAGAUUCCUGUCUAAAAUGAAGGUACAGCCCAAGCACCUUGGGUGUGUUGGACUGAGCUGCUUUUAUUUGGCUGUAAAAUCAAUAGAAGAGGAAAGGAAUGUCCCAUUGGCAACUGACUUGAUCCGAAUAAGUCAAUACAGGUUUACGGUUUCAGACUUGAUGAGAAUGGAAAAGAUUGUAUUGGAGAAAGUGUGUUGGAAAGUCAAAGCUACUACUGCCUUUCAAUUUCUGCAACUGUAUUAUUCACUCCUUCAAGAGAACUUGCCACUUGAAAGGAGAAAUAGCAUUAAUUUUGAAAGACUAGAAGCUCAACUGAAGGCAUGUCAUUGCAGGAUCAUAUUUUCUAAAGCAAAGCCUUCUGUGUUGGCAUUGUCUAUCAUUGCAUUAGAGAUCCAAGCACAGAAGUGUGUAGAGUUAACAGAAGGAAUAGAAUGUCUUCAGAAACAUUCCAAGAUAAAUGGCAGAGAUCUGACCUUCUGGCAAGAGCUUGUAUCCAAGUGUUUAACAGAAUAUUCAUCAAAUAAGUGUUCCAAACCAAAUGUUCAGAAGUUGAAAUGGAUUGUUUCUGGGCGUACUGCACGGCAAUUGAAGCAUAGCUACUACAGAAUAACUCACCUUCCAACAAUUCCUGAAAUGGUCCCUUAACUGGUAAAUUUGGUCCGUUAUUAUUCUCCAGAUAGAGAACAUUUUCCACUGCCAUAAUUUUCAACUAAAGAAGAGUAAUUAUCUUCAAAAUAAACAAAAUGGAGCUGGAAUAGUAAAGGGGGAGAUGACAUCACUGAUCUAGUCAGCUAAUAUUUGAAGGCCUUUACUAUAUACAAGGAUUAUUACAGCACCAAAAAACUUCUCUGAAGCCUUUCUCCACAACCUUGUUCUAUGGAUUCCAUAAUGUUACAAUGGAUUUAAGCUAUGAAGCCUCAAAACAUCACGAGAUAAGCAUGAUGGUCUCAGACUUGGGAAAACUGCCUAAUAUUAUGCUGUAGUGGAAUUAUGUUUAGAUUUGAAUUCAUCUGUGAAGCAUUCAAAUCAAAGCUAAAAACCUAAAUGUGAAAUGCUAAUGACAAGCCUGAGAAGGUAAACUGUGAAUCUUCAUUUCUAUCAUUGAUCUAACAUUAGAUAUUGGAUCAAUAUAUUUAGGUGGUAUUGAAAAUGCUAUUGGAGGAGUCACACUAAUACUAUCAACUAUCAGUCUUCCCACAGCUUCAAUCACUCUCAUUAUUCUAAUCCUACUCCUACUUAAAUAUUAAAUUUUAAGUUAUGAGGUUUAUGUCAAAAGCAACAUUUCACAAAUGUACUUUUAAGGCAUAAUAAGGGUUAACAUUCUAGGCAGUAUAAACACACCCCAUAAUGCAAGUAAUAGGUAAUCUAGAGAUGUGGACUUUAUUGCUAUAUGGGAAUUACAUUUAAAUUUGAGGGCAUUUUAUAUAAAGAAAAAUACAGACCUAUAAAGUUUGGCAUAUUCAUUAAGUUAUCUUUUAAUAUUUUUUCUAGAAAACAGGUGACAUUUGUAUCUACGAUAAAAAUUUUUAUACAGAACCUACUGCCUCAAACUGAAUCCCAUCAAGAAAACUAGUUUCUAUUGUAUUAGUAACUCAAAAUAAAUUAUCACUUCGAAAACUUGCUUUCCCACACUAAGGUAAGUUCAGACUAGAUUGAACACUCCAGAAGUUUUUUCUAUUACAGACUGUUUUUAAGUUAGAAGUGAUGGCAAUUUUAUAAAUAGAGAAUAUACUUCCACUGAUGCCCUUACUGUGCCAAAACAAAAAUCUUAAGAAAAGCAAGUAGACACCUUCAUAACUAUGAAUGAAGCUGCUGAGGUAGUGUUUAGGAUCCUCCAUGUCAGUUAGUGAAUGUAAGAAGUACAGUGUUAAAGUGUUGUAAACAGUUACUCAGUGCAAUGUAUAGCCUGAGUCUAUCCAUGAUGGCUAUAUCCAAUUUGACAUCACGUUAUGGAUCAAUACACAAUGAAAAACCAAAGAACCACAGUAUGUCUUAUUCUUAACUUUUGUAAACCAUGUUUUAUGGGUAACUUUUUAGUUUUCCCAAAAGGCUGAUAAAUUUCAAUAUUUUGAGUACAUCAUUGUUAAUUUUGAGUUGGCAGAGGUAAACUAACCAACUACCAUUAUGUUUUAGUACUAAGGGAUAUACCUUUCAAUAAAGUUAAUGAAAUUCAA